rnacentral:rRNA from 1 species
AGUUUGAUCCUGGCUCAGGAUGAAAGCUCGCGACCGGCUUAACACAUGCAAGUCGAGGGGCAGCGGGGGCGAAGCUUGCUUCGCCUGCCGGCGACCGGCGCACGGGUGAGUAACACGUAUGCGACCUGCCCCCCGCAGGGGGAUAACCGGGAGAAAUCCCGACUAAUACCGCGUAACGCCGCUGGGCUGCAUGGCCCGGCGGCCAAAGGAAGCGAUUCCGGCGGGGGAUGGGCAUGCGGCGCAUUAGCUAGUCGGCGGGGUAACGGCUCACCGAGGCGACGAUGCGUAGGGGUUCUGAGAGGAAGGUCCCCCACACUGGUACUGAGACACGGACCAGACUCCUACGGGAGGCAGCAGUGAGGAAUAUUGGUCAAUGGGCGGGAGCCUGAACCAGCCAAGUCGCGUGAGGGAAGACGGUCCUACGGAUUGUAAACCUCUUUUGCCGGGGAGCAACGGGGUCCUUGCGAGGGCCCGAUGAGAGUACCCGGAGAAAAAGCAUCGGCUAACUCCGUGCCAGCAGCCGCGGUAAUACGGAGGAUGCGAGCGUUAUCCGGAUUUAUUGGGUUUAAAGGGUGCGUAGGCGGGCUGUUAAGUCAGCGGUCAAAUGUCGGGGCUCAACCCCGGCCUGCCGUUGAAACUGGCGGCCUCGAGUGGGCGAGAAGUAUGCGGAAUGCGUGGUGUAGCGGUGAAAUGCAUAGAUAUCACGCAGAACUCCGAUUGCGAAGGCAGCAUACCGGCGCCCGACUGACGCUGAGGCACGAAAGCGUGGGUAUCGAACAGGAUUAGAUACCCUGGUAGUCCACGCAGUAAACGAUGAAUGCUAGCUGUCCGGUUCUACGGCACUGGGUGGCACAGCGAAAG